AACCUUGGGUUGAUAAACUUGUGAUUACGUUUAGUUACAUGUGCAUGGUUUCAUUUCAUCGUUAGUUAGUUAAUUGACUUGAGAUCUGAAGCAUAACGUCAAAUGUGAUAUUCAAUUACAGUACUUCAGUGAAGGCUACAUAAAGGAGUUUACACUAUCUGCUGGCAGAUGUGAAAAUAAGCGAUUUGUUUACAAAAAAAGUGAUCCGACGUGAUCCGACGUACGAUCCCCUCCAGCAAUCGAGAAAGAAUGAGGGCGAUCGUUUCGACGUGGAAAUAUUUAAUCAUAAUAAGCAAUGCAUUUAUUUUGGGUAUGGUUCAUCAAUCGACAACAUACGAGCUAAAAGAGAGCGCUUACUGUGAAUGGUAUUGUUCAAAAGAACAACAACAAUGGGACGGCUCAUGUCAUGUAUAUGGGUCCUGUCGGUGGUAUUGUCAGGUGAAACGCAAAGACUGCACCCCGGGUACACGAUAUCAUUGUGCCAGAGAUUUGCAUAACAAGGACUUAUUUAUUGAAACGUGCGCACCUGAAAUAUUUUGUUUGGCAGGAGAAGAACCUCAAAUAUCUUUACAACAGAGUGGCAAAGCCUCUGUGCAUUGCAAACCAUGUUACCGACGAAACAUGUUCAAUGGUCGCCAUAACACAUCAUCGGCGGUUUUUAGUGAAUGUUCUACUUUUAAAACAAACUUCAGUCCUGACCCUGCAGUCGCGUCUGUAUAUACAACUGUUACAACUGUUGUUGAAGACAAGGCAACAAAUUUGUUUAUCGAAUGCAAAACAAUGUGUACAGUUUACGGAACAUUCUAAAAUGUAAUGUCGUUUCAUACCUCGACUUGAUUUCAACAACAAACGUCAUGAGAUGAUGAUGUUAUGACUGAUUUGCAAACGAUUAAAUAUGAUAAACAUAUUGAAGACAAUAAUAUGCCUCUAUUUUAGUUAAAUUAAACGAUGAUUUCCGAAUCGAAUUUGAAAGAGUAUUUCUUUCGAAAUAAAAAUAAUAUAAUUUAAGCCGAAAUGAUUGUAAAACAAUUUUAUACCUGCACAUAUUCGGUUUUAUAACAAAGUUUAUCAGUUUGUACAUGUUUUAGUUUACUUAAACAACAUAAAUCGCACAACAUACUUUAUAUUUUAACUGCCGUUAGUCUAUCUCAUCAUAAAUAUUCAACAUGUAUAUAUCAAAUAAAGCGGAUAAUACAAAAACAUGUUAUAACAAUACAUUUUUGUAAAUAAUAUAUAUCGGCUCGUUAAAUUGUGUAGGGGUGAUGUGUGCUCGUCUUAAUACAUAUUGAAAUGUUACAAUGUUUCAUAACGUAAUUUAAUUGUUAAGCUCUAUUUCGACGAUGUUUUUAUUU